GCCAGGGUAGUGCAGUGGUUUGAGCAUUGGACUGAGAUGCUGGGAAACCAGGAUUCAAAUCCCUGCUCUGCCU